UACGUAGGGGGCAAGCGUUGUCCGGAAUCAUUGGGCGUAAAGGGCGCGUAGGCGGCCCGGUAAGUCCGCUGUAAAAGUCAAAGGCUUAACCUUUGAAUGCCGGUGGAUACUGCCGGGCUAGAGUCCGGAAGAGGCGAGUGGAAUUCCUGGUGUAGCGGUGGAAUGCGCAGAUAUCAGGAGGAACACCGAUAGCGAAGGCAGCUCGCUGGGACGGUACUGACGCUGAGGCGCGAAAGCGUGGGGAGCGAACAGG
rnacentral:rRNA from 1 species